rfam:Canis lupus familiaris chromosome 17, whole genome shotgun sequence.
GCCUGGGUGGCUCAGUGGUUGAGUGUCUGCCUUCAGCUCAGAGUGUGAUCCUGGGGUCCUGGGAUCAAGUCCCACAUCGGGCU